rnacentral:rRNA from 1 species
UACGUAGGGUGCGAGCGUUACUCGGAAUUACUGGGCGUAAAGCGUGCGCAGGCGGUUCGUGAUGUCUGAUGUGAAAGCCCCGGGCUCAACCUGGGAAUUGCAUUGGAAACUAGCGGGCUGGAGUGUGGCAGAGGGGGGUGGAAUUCCACGUGUAGCAGUGAAAUGCGUAGAGAUGUGGAGGAACACCAGUGGCGCAAGCGGCUGACUGGCCGAGACCUGACGCUGAGACACGACGGCGUGGGGAGCAAACCGG